rnacentral:lncRNA from 1 species
GAUAGGUUAAGUGAACAGGACUUGGUGGACAGAACCUUGAAGGCAGCCUCAGAAAUUUCUAAUUCCAUCGUCAAUGGUAUAAGCUUUCCUUUCUUGUUAUUCACCUGAGACAGAUAAGUGAUGGCUGUCAGAUGGGAGGAGGUAGAAAGAAGUGCUUAGUUCAAUGCAAUGGGAAAGCAUUCCAAGUGGAUCCUACAUGAGUGCAGAGAAAUCACAUGUCGGUGUCCAGAUAAAUCUUCCCCUUUGAUUUAUCAAAGGAAAUGCCAAGUCUUACUUUUUUUUUAAAAUGUGUCCACUUGGGAUAAGAAAAAGGAGCCUUCUUUUUCAACUCUGCUUGACCUUCCACACUAAUAUGUGUAUCCCAAAAAGUAUUAUUUUCACUAUAUAUCUUAAGUGGACAAGUUUAUACACUGAUCUAGAGAAGAGCUGCAUUUAUUUACCAUCAAUGUAAUAGGUUUUAUUUUCUAAACUAUUUUCCAUUUGAGGCACUUAUCUUUCCUAUUUCAGUAGAAUUAACCUCAGGUCACAGAAACAAGAUCUUCUUUCUAAGGCUUUGACAUUUAAAUGCCUGUUUGGUGUUUGUUUUUUUUUUUUCUUUUUUUUCCUUUUUAAUGUAGUACCUCUGUUCAAAGCUAACUCUAAUUUUUAGAGGUGCCACCUUUCGGUUACAAGGACAAAGGGACAAUCGUCUAAUUGCCUCACAUGUGUACAUCUGAAUUAACAAGUUUAGACAUGAAGAGAGAAAGGAAACCGACUGCUUUCCAUGAAAACCAAGAAAACGAGAACUAGCAAGAACUUGACAAACACCUGCCUUCAGAUUGGAAGACCAGUCACCUGUCAUUCCUGGACACUGUACUGCAGCUGUCUAAGGUACAUGGAAAAAUGUACAAUAUCAAAUGUACCUUUGAUAUCUUUUGUUGAUUAUCUUGUGAUAUGUGGAAGAAAAUGCAUUUGUAUGGAAAAUUAUAGGACUGUGUCUCUUAUUUCAAAUGAAUCUUUUUUGGCAGUAAAGGAAAUAGUAUUGUUCAUAUCUUUUGAAAUUACUACUGGGUGUUAAUGUCCUUGAUGUGCUAGUUUAGUUGAUGGAGCCCUGGCCACCUUUAUGAUGUUGUUGCCUUCUCCCAUUCUCAUUCUGUACUUUAUCAGAUCCAAAGUUGUCAUGGUUCAUUAUCUGUAGAUGAUCUUGAGCAGCCUUGCAUUCUGAAAGAAUAUGCCAUAGCAUCUGCCUCUGUGCUUCUGUGCCCUGCUAUUCAGAUGGGAUUUUAGCAACAGUAUUGGGUAAGGGGAGGGGGUGGAGGCAGAAUUUGUCUCAGGCUGAUGUUUCUUUGUGCCACUCUCUGUCUUACUCUUUC